GACGAACGCUGGCGGCGUGCCUAAUACAUGCAAGUAGAACGCUGAAGAGAGGAGCUUGCUCUUCUUGGAUGAGUUGCGAACGGGUGAGUAACGCGUAGGUAACCUGCCUUGUAGCGGGGGAUAACUAUUGGAAACGAUAGCUAAUACCGCAUAACAAUGGAUGACACAUGUCAUUUAUUUGAAAGGGGCAAUUGCUCCACUACAAGAUGGACCUGCGUUGUAUUAGCUAGUAGGUGAGGUAACGGCUCACCUAGGCGACGAUACAUAGCCGACCUGAGAGGGUGAUCGGCCACACUGGGACUGAGACACGGCCCAGACUCCUACGGGAGGCAGCAGUAGGGAAUCUUCGGCAAUGGGGGCAACCCUGACCGAGCAACGCCGCGUGAGUGAAGAAGGUUUUCGGAUCGUAAAGCUCUGUUGUAAGUCAAGAACGAGUGUGAGAGUGGAAAGUUCACACUGUGACGGUAGCUUACCAGAAAGGGACGGCUAACUACGUGCCAGCAGCCGCGGUAAUACGUAGGUCCCGAGCGUUGUCCGGAUUUAUUGGGCGUAAAGCGAGCGCAGGCGGUUUGAUAAGUCUGAAGUUAAAGGCUGUGGCUCAACCAUAGUUCGCUUUGGAAACAGUCAAACUUGAGUGCAGAAGGGGAGAGUGGAAUUCCAUGUGUAGCGGUGAAAUGCGUAGAUAUAUGGAGGAACACCGGUGGCGAAAGCGGCUCUCUGGUCUGUAACUGACGCUGAGGCUCGAAAGCGUGGGGAGCGAACAGGAUUAGAUACCCUGGUAGUCCACGCCGUAAACGAUGAGUGCUAGGUGUUGGAUCCUUUCCGGGAUUCAGUGCCGCAGCUAACGCAUUAAGCACUCCGCCUGGGGAGUACGACCGCAAGGUUGAAACUCAAAGGAAUUGACGGGGGCCCGCACAAGCGGUGGAGCAUGUGGUUUAAUUCGAAGCAACGCGAAGAACCUUACCAGGUCUUGACAUCCCGAUGCUAUUUCUAGAGAUAGGAAGUUACUUCGGUACAUCGGUGACAGGUGGUGCAUGGUUGUCGUCAGCUCGUGUCGUGAGAUGUUGGGUUAAGUCCCGCAACGAGCGCAACCCCUAUUGUUAGUUGCCAUCAUUCAGUUGGGCACUCUAGCGAGACUGCCGGUAAUAAACCGGAGGAAGGUGGGGAUGACGUCAAAUCAUCAUGCCCCUUAUGACCUGGGCUACACACGUGCUACAAUGGUUGGUACAACGAGUUGCGAGUCGGUGACGGCAAGCUAAUCUCUUAAAGCCAAUCUCAGUUCGGAUUGUAGGCUGCAACUCGCCUACAUGAAGUCGGAAUCGCUAGUAAUCGCGGAUCAGCACGCCGCGGUGAAUACGUUCCCGGGCCU
rnacentral:rRNA from 1 species